rnacentral:rRNA from 1 species
AUGAAGAGAAAAGCGCUGUCAUACACCGUUAAGAUUAAUUCAUUCUUUAGGCUGGUUGCUUCAAGUUCUCAACCUAGUGAAAUUUUUAAUGACGCUGAUAUGUUGGACAUAGUAAAUGUUGCAGAACAAGAACAAAAUUGGCUUAUCAUAAAGACCUUGGUAAACAUUGUCAAAUUUGAGAGCUGCCACUGGACAAGGAAGAUGAAGGUCGGCAUUUUUAUAUAUCCGAGGAACCAUAUCUGCCGAAAAGUGCCCCGAAACACUCUAAACAGUAAUUUAUCAUUUAAGUGCCGCCAAAUGGGAUAUGACUUACUUCGGUGUUCCAUGGUCAGAUACAUUGAAAAAAUUAGUAGGUAA